UGGGCAACCUGCCCUCAGCUCUGGGAUAACUCCGGGAAACCGGGGCUAAUACCGGAUAUGACCGCUGACCGCAUGGUCUGGUGGUGGAAAGAUUUAUCGGCUGGGGAUGGGCCCGCGGCCUAUCAGCUUGUUGGUGGGGUAGUGGCCUACCAAGGCGACGACGGGUAGCCGGCCUGAGAGGGUGACCGGCCACACUGGGACUGAGACACGGCCCAGACUCCUACGGGAG
rnacentral:rRNA from 1 species